UGCAGGCUCUUCGUUCUCCUGUAUUGUGUUUUGUGAAAGCGGUGUUUCUGCCCCCUCCGACCUUUCUGCAGUGGAGAGGCUGGGGGGAGAGCUUGACUCGGUUUACUCCGUCAUCGGUCACAUUCCCGUCAGAAAGCGAGAUGGAAGUUCGAAGCAAGAUCAGUAUAACUCAUUCUUGUAUUGGAGAGCACCAUUGCCUACAAUUGAUUUAUCUGAUAUUCAGAGCCUGCAUGGAGACACUACAUCUGCUGAUAAAACUCCUUCAAGGACUGAUACCAUGGAGACUGAGAUGGAGACCUGAUCAGUUGUUUCAUAGUUAUACAUCUACUUGCAGGAAGGUCGUUUCUGUUUGGAUUCAGUUUUUCCUGUGUGGGAGAAAAAACAACGUGCUUCUGUUUUCAUGAAGAAACAGUGUUAUAUCAAUCUGAAAAGGCAAGUCAGAGCUGUCAGGUUGGUGGAAUCAUCACAAUUAGGUACUGUUUAGCUGGCUGGAGUUGUGAACUUACUGAUUUUGUGUGGAGGAGGCUAUGUUUGUUUAGCAUGAAGGCUUGAAUUCAUGGAAGCAAAGUAGAAGAAAACAACAGAAAAAUUAGUUAACUUCUGGAUGUAGUUAUAAAAAACAGCUGGAUAAGUUACACGUGGAAAGGAAAUGGAAAAUAGUUUAGCCUGUCCUGAACAAGAAGUGUAACUAUUGUACCAAAAUAUGAAAUUCUUCGUCGUAAAGCACAGAAACUAGUACUUUUUAGUGUUAUUUUUUUUUUUCAGUGUAAUAACCUAAGCCAAAAAAUAUAAGUCCACCAAAACCAGACAAAACAUUCCCUUUUCUAUGCAAACCAAAAAUGAGUGUGUUGGGGAUGGGAAGGGAAAAGGGGAUCUAGUCUAUAAGCUGCCAGUGUUCUGAAUGAUCAGUCUUGUGAUCACUCAAAGCAGCUGGUUUUUUUUCUAUUUUUAAUCUAUUUUUUAAUCUAUUCCAAAGUUAAUGAUUUUCUUACUCUUUGUGAAAUUAAACUAGCUGGUAAUGUGGAAAUAGCAGCUUUGUGCAGGGUCAUGAAAGGUUAAUGCAGUAUGAAUUGUGUACCUAGUUGAUUGAGUUUUAGUUUUUUGCAGAUGUUGUGGAUUUUGCAAAAAUCUUUUUUUUAUAGAAGUUCAAUUAGUUCAUGUUUUGUUCUUUUUUUUUUGCUGUGAAAUAUGAUUGUAAUGCGCUUUUUUGUAAUUUAUUAACAAGUUAAAAUACAAUUAGACAUAUAUGUUUUCAGUAAUAGGUUGAAAUUUAAAGUUGUAUUGGCAGACUGUCAGACUUGUGAAUGUGACUUGUUUUUAGGUGAGUUUGUUAUAUUUUUGCUGGAGGCAUCUUAAAAUAAAAUCUUUUUAGUAAUGUAUUUGUCAAUAAAAUUUUGUCUGUGCGCA